CUAAGUCGUGAUGUGCUUCUCUCAAAGAAGAAAAGCUGAAGAACGUGGAGAAAAAUUGCACGGGUUCAGAACCCACGAAGCUGACGGUUUCCACAAUUUUAGAACCCAUCACCACCAUGUUACCUAUAUUUUUCUUCGUCCACUUCAUUGGCACCUUUUCUGCUUCAGAAAUCGAAACCGAAAUUGCGAGUAAUCACCCAAGAGCACCCGGUGUAAAGACUGGCCAGACUCGAAAAACUUCCUUUCUCAUUCCGCACCACACCUGCUAUCCUGUAACUGAAGAUAAAGGAGGUAGGGUUCACACUCAGAAAGAGAGAAGAUUUAAAUUCGUACAGGAGGGAUAGUGUUCAAGUUAUUUAUCAGUACUUGGACGAGAACAAGUCAUUGAUUCUGAAGAUCGUUCAGAGCCAGAAUACUGGGAAAUUGAGUGAAUGCGCAGAUACUUGGACGAGAACAAGUCAUUGAUUCUGAAGAUCGUUGAGAGCCAGAAUACAGGGAAAUUGAGUGAAUGCGUAAAAUGUUGUUUCGCUAGAGCACCAAUGAAGAAAGCAUUUAGAUUUGAUGUGUUUGAUGUCAAUGGUAUGAAUCUCUCUCUCUCUCUCUCUCUCUCUCUCUCUCUCUUUUGGUUUGGGAUUUUUGAAAUUUUUUUUUGUGAAUUAAUUUUGCUGGGUUUAAUGAUAUUAUCAGCUAGCAGCAUUUGACUUGGUGUAAAUCACGUACUUGGUCUGCUUAAGUUCUUUAUGGUAUCUACAAAAAAAAAAAAAAAAAAAAAAGUUCUUUAUGGUAAUUUAUAAAGUAAGAAUUUUGAUUCUGUUUUCUGGCGUUUUCCUUUGUUUCUCCAGCUAAUAGAUGUAGGGGUUUCCACACUGGCCAUUGAUUUGUGUUGGACUUUUUAGUGGGUAGUUGCCAAAACCUUGGAUUUGGAACUCAGUGGUAUUUGUUUCAACAAUUGAACAUAUUUUUCAUCUCUUGGUAGCAUUUCUUUUUCUACUUUGUUGGUUAAGCCAACCCCAUUGUAGUGAGUAGAAGGAGAUUUACAGUUUCAUAUUGUGUCUUCUGGAUAUUGUUAUCAAAUUAACAAAUUUCCUUAUCUCUCGAUCUCUGCUUUUGCUUACCUAAAUUGCAUUUGCUUCAAGUUGGAAUGAAUGAGGUAUUUUGAGGCUAUAUAAUUAUGUGAUUGUUGUGCUUCAUUCUAAUUACUGUUUAUUUUAUUUUUUUAGUAUGAAUCAUAGUUAAGCAGUCGUCCAAUUGCUUCAGAUUAAAUUGUCUGUCACAUCUCUGACUUAUUCACUGAAGCAAAGAAGCAAAGAUAAUUUUCAGGAUUCUCUUCCAACGAUCUAUCCAUUGCUAGGUAUGGGUAUAUGCCCGCAUUCACCUACCUCUACAUUACUUUCUUUGUUUGCUAAUCAUACUUUUUUACCUAAUAAAGUAACAAGCAGCUCAAAAAAGAACAAUGAAAACAUUGAACAGAGAAAAUCAUUUUGCUUGCUCCUUUGUAUUUGAUUAGUAUUAUACCAACCAAAACAAUGAAGACUACAACCUGGACAUGCUCAAGAUUGAACUUUGCAAUAUAUGUAUUAUAUUUUUUAAUUAAUUAAUCAUUUGUAUUAAUAACCAAUCUUUUGUAUUAAUAAUCGAUGUACCCUAAUUUGAUUUAUAUAUAAGAAGUUCAUUUUCAAUGUA